rnacentral:rRNA from 1 species
UGAACGCUGGCGGACGUGCCUAACACAUGCAAGUCGAGCGGAGAUCAGGAAGUAGCAAUACGGAAUGGAUCUUAGCGGCGGACGGGUGAGUAACACGUGAGUAACCUGCCUUCUACAGGGGAAUAACACCGUGAAAACGGUGCUAAUACCGCAUAACAUCACACUGUGGCAUCACAGAGUGAUCAAAGGAGCAAUCCGGUAGAAGAUGGACUCGCGUCCGAUUAGCUAGUUGGCGGGGUAACGGCCCACCAAGGCGACGAUCGGUAGCCGAACUGAGAGGUUGAUCGGCCACAUUGGGACUGAGACACGGCCCAGACUCCUACGGGAGGCAGCAGUGGGGAAUAUUGGGCAAUGGGCCGAAAGCCUGACCCAGCAACGCCGCGUGAAGGAAGAAGGCCUUCGGGUUGUAAACUUCUUUGAACAGGGACGAAACAAAUGACGGUACCUGAAAAACAAGCCACGGCUAACUACGUGCCAGCCGCCGC